AAGGAGACACAGACAACUUCGCUCUAAUAAAGUACCUUUCCUGUGGUGUUCUCAGGAUACCCAACAAACAGUAAAUGAAGACUCACAAAAAUGUCCCUCUUACCCUCCCAACCAUCAUCAUCUGACUUGUAGGAAUGAGGCAGAAAGAACUGAUGCCUCACUGGUGAUUUUAAUAACAAUUUUUGCUAUAUUUUUUUUAUCGUUUGUGGUACAAGAAACAUGGAUAGUUCAUCUUUGAAGGAGGGCAGAAAGUAUUUGUCUCCUUUGGAUGUAUUCUUCACAAUGGAAAAAACAUUGAAUAUAAUUCUUGACCUGCCAGCACCAAUUGGAAUUUGCUGCUGGUUUCUGUGAAGACAGGAUUUCCUCUGUGGUACAAAUUAGUAAUUUUUCUUUGUAUAGUCACUUACUAUAGUAAGUGUGUAUAGUGACUUUGUAUAGUCACCAUGUUUCUGAGGAUCUUGCAUGUGUGAUACGAGCACGAAUGCAUUUUAGUUAGUGUUGCAGUAUUUGAAGACAUCACAAAAGUUAAAAUCAUGUUAGGAUCAGAACCUAGAAGUAUUUAAUUUGUUUUCAAAACCCAAAUCCAGGUUUCAUUAGUGGUCCUGUACUGUAUAAAUUUGCAAAUGAUAGAGUUGUAAAUUAUGCAUUGGAACCCAAACUUGCACUAUGCUUUUUUUUUUUUUUUCAAUAAUACAUGCUAAAACUUGAGUUGUGGUGGAAAAAGAGGUUCCAUUUCUUCCUGCAGAUGCGGGACAGAAUGUGACUUCAAAAUACAGCCUUGCCCAUUUUGCAGCUGUGUGACUACUUCCACUUUUUUAUAUUUAUCUUUAAAAAUGAGAUACUCUUUAGAAUAUCAUACCCUUAUGUGACAUCAAUUCUAUAUGCUUAGUAAUAAACCAAAUACAAAUUGAUCUUGCUGAUACUGCAAGAUUUAUUUUCAGUAUACCUAGGCUGGAGUAUAUUCUGAUGAAUUUUUCCUGUGAGACUGGCAUCUGUUAAUAAAAACAUUUAGACAGAUUCCUCCAGAAGUACAUGUUUGUAAAGUUUUCCAGUGGAAAAAUAUGAAUUUGAAGUUUGUUUGCCUUUUUUUUUUAGAGUGUACUCAUGACUAACUGUGUGCGUGUGUUCACUUUUGUGGAAGUACACAUGCAUAUUGGGAAAUCUGACAUUUGUGUUCCAAAACCUCUGUAUAUCAGGUGGAGGAGGAGGAUAUUUCUUUUCUUCUUUGCAAAGAAUGAAAAAUGGUCAUGUGUGUGUUAAAAAUAAGGAAUAUGAUUAAUUAAGCAGUGAUUAUGGUGUUGUGCCUGGAGGGCACAGGUAAUAGGAUGGGAAACAAAAAUUACCGGAAAGCUCAGAGUGGGCCAUAAUGUUCUUGCAUGCUAGCAGAGAAGCUUUUAAUCAGAUCCUGAAAUGAUGAGGGUGUCACUGCAGAUGUGUGAAAAGAAAUAUUAUUUUCCAUUCAGAUGAUGAACGGAAUGAUGACCUGGAACAUUUUGGGAAUGUUCAGAUUUGGAGGAUAAUAGGGAAACAGAAUACAGUGUAUUAGCCCAAAUACAGAUGUUUCUGAACAUGUUUUUGAUUUGCAAAAAAGGUAAAAAACAUGGCAGAAAAAUGUGCCUCUGUAGAAGGGUAAGCAGCAGGGAACCAUGCUGGGGGAGUUCUCCCUGUUCUUGCCACAGAGAGGCUGUGGUGGUUGGUGGUCAAAAAAAGAAUGAACUAAGGACAUCAUGAGAGCGCUGCCCUAGGAUCAUCAAUUAUUUGGAGUAACAACAGGUUAUAUUUUCUGUGUCCAAUAGUUGCUGCAGAAAUGAUCUGUUGUCACACUCUGCAUUGCCUAGUCAUAUUUAAAAUGCAGAUUUCAUUUAUCAUCCAUAAGGGUGUUGUAAACUCUUGCUACUAUGAUUAACUAGCCCUUCCUCUUCCCCAUAUGUUUGAGUUUCACAGUCUUUUUUUUUGAUACUGUCGUUUGGGAGGAGGUGGAAUAUUUGACAGGCAAAUGGUCAAACUCUUUUCUAGUGCAGGUGGUGUUUGGCAAGAAGUGGUAGACAUUUAUAGACUGAGGAAAUGCAGUAUAACAGCACUUCCUUUAAAUUUUAAAUUACAUUGAAAUUGAUCAGUACUGAUGUCUGCAUUUAUAAGCCAUACAAUAUUGUUUUGCAUGCUGAAACAUUGUUAGAUUUUGCUUAUAAGGAAAUUGCUUCUGUGAAAUGAAAUGAUGCCAUGAAAUACAGUUUCUGUAUCUGUUUCAAGCAUAUAACAUAAAUAUGUCUGUCUGUAGCAAUACACAGACUCUAACUUUCAUUCUGCUGAUUGAAAAUCAGCUUUCUUAGGCUUGGGCUGUCUUAGGACAUACGUGGGUAGGAUAGAUAUAGAUAUGUUUUACUCUUGUAAGGUAAAUUAUUUUCUUUCAAAAGGAAAAGUAUCUUUUUAUAAUAAUGAACAGAAGACUGGAAGGGAAGGCUAAGUCUAGUCUAGUCUCAUGUUGUAGAAAGUUAAGUCGUAAGUAAACCAUAAAUUGAUUAUACAUCAUGUUGCAACCCUUUAGAGGGUUGUAUGUGGAGGGUUUCUUGGUUACUUUUUUUGUUCUCUUUUUCCAAUGACAUAUACUGUAAACCUUAUCAAGAGUACCCUGAUGUCUUAUUCCUGGGAUACCUAGUUAUCUUCUGAAUUCCACACAGGAUGUAUUCCUGUUCAUUUUGUUUCUGUUUCUUCUGAGACUGACCUUCACUUUCAGCAGCUGUGCCUGACAUUAUUCCCUUUCAUCUCUCAGACCCCUUUUUUCCAAGCUAAGCUAGCCAAACUCUUUUGGGCACUUCAGUGAUGAUAGACCAUCCCUCUAACCAUUGUGCUUGGGAUCAUCAGCUCCUCUCCUAGUUUGAAUCCACUUUUCCUGGGCUUGACUGAACAGAAAGCUACAUCAAAUGGUGCGAUAGUCUCUGUUGUAAGUAAGUACCACCUACCCUAAGUGUUUAACUUGAGGUGCAAGAUUGCCUGUAUAAUCAAAGGGGAGAGAUGGACAUUUCUGCAUAGCCAUUCACAGACAUUUAGGCAAUUUCUAUUAUUUAGUUCAAUGUCAGUUGUCUACUAAGUGUCCUGUCCAAAUUCAUGUCCUUAGUUUUGUUAACCCCUUCCUAAUUUCUGUGACUAGAUUGUUGGUGAUGAGAUUAUCUAAGAUUGGUCCCAUGGCUGAUCAGAGAUGAACUUUUAGCAACCUCUUUUAUCUGAAUACUUUCUUUUCAGCAUUACACUCGUGUUCCUUUUAAGGUAUCUGUUACUUAUCCAGCAACUCUUGUACAAAUUACCAGCAUUUGCUGCUUAACUAAUAGUUUCCUGUGCUGGAUUCAGUCAGAUACUUCACUGAGUCCUGUGUGGACUUAAUCUGAAUAGUUUGUUGAAAAAUUCACAUGACUUAUGGAAAGAAAGACUCAAGUUAGCUGGGCAGGGUCUAAUUCUAGUAAAUCCACAUUGUGUUUUCUCCCAUUUUCCAAGCACAUUGAGGUUUAUGGUGUCUUCUCUUCCAUAUUUGUCCUAAAACUUUGUAUAUUAUUGAAGUCGGACUAUAGGUCUGACUGGCUGGGCAGUUUGAGAAAUUUCUCUCCUUUUCUUCCUCAAAUACAAAACAAUGUUGAUCUGUUUUCCUUUAGCAUGUGUCCUAGGAUAGAGACUGUCUACUUCAUUGCAAGAUCUUUGGGGUUUUGCUUCUAUUUCAUUUUGGUAAUUCUUGUUCUGUAAUCCUUUUUUCCUUUAAUCCACCCUACCCUUGACUGUAUAGUCAUUGUUUCUGUUGAAAAGUAAAUCAAGUGUUAAUUUAGUUACAGAGUUAUACUUAGGGGAUCUUUAAUCGUAGUGUUAUAUACAAUACAUAUGCAAUGCACUUUCUUUUCUCUUUAUUAAUAUAUUUGAUGAACAUUUUAAGGAAUUCCAAACUCUUAAGCUCUGUAAUUCUCUGAUUUUUUUUUUUUUAAUGAUCUUUUGCAGUAGAGAACUUAGAUCUGUGUAUCAUUUCAUUUGAUUUAAAGUGAGUUAGCCCAUGAUCAUUCAGAUCAGAUCUCACCUGAUUUAACGGACCACAAAUUUAAAACUCAACUGCAGCAGUAUGGGUUCAUUGGCUACUUGGUGAAGAUACGCCCAUCACUCAUGUGGAAGCAGCCAGGACCAACAGCUAUAAGCAGUAUUUCUCUGUGUAUGGGAAGUACAAGUCUUUCAUACUACACUGUCCUGACAUGUCUUUCUCCCUUGUAACAGUGUAGAGCUGUGCCUGUCUGUCACCUUAUUUGGUGGCCCAUAGAGAACCUGGGGUUGGGUGACCAAUUCCAUUUCUAUACUAUUAGAGCCCUCCUUUUCCAGACUGAUUUUGAUAUCUUUUUUUCUUUAAGUCUAUCACAUCAUUAAUAUGCAAAACUACUACAAUGUCAUAACCAUUUCAUUUUACCUGAAUGCUUUAAAAUACAGGCAAGUACCCUUUCAAAGCUGUGUUUUUGUCAUGAUUGCUAGUCUAUCAUGUCUGUGUUAUUCCUUGGAGAUCCAUUUUAUCAUGAUCUCUGUAGUUAGCAUUAGUCAUUUCAGUGCCCAUACAGCAUAGCAUUUCUUGAUACAGGAAGAUUAAUCUUAUUUGCAUACAAUGAGUGAUUCCUUAGGCUUUUCAACUGCAGCUACCUUGUCUGUUUUUUCUUAAGAUUAUUGCUGUAAAGAUAUUGAACAGCAGCUCAGGAGAUUUAGGUUCAACUUAUGGAUUGGGUUUGUUUUCAAAUGUUCAUGUGCAUCUUAGUUUUUCUGUGCCUCUUUGCCUGUUUCUCUCUGUCAGAUCCAGGGCAUAUACUUAUUAAUGACUGGCAAGUACUCAAGUAAUAUGGUGGCAAAUUCUGUGAAAAUAGAAUCAGAGAAUCAUAUAAUGGUUUAGGUUGGAAAGGACCUGAAGAUCAUCUAGUACCAAUACGUUUUGAUGAUGAAUGCUGUUAAGUCCCCGUAAUGCAAAAAUUAUUUUAAAAGUAGAGAAAAUACAAAGCCAUUAGUGAAUGAUGAUAGAAAAGUAAGACAUACUGCAGAAAAAGACACUGAAAGAACUGUAUUAAAUGGAGGACUCGGGAGAUUUACAGUUACAGACUAUAAAUAAUUGCAGAGAUAAUAGUAUAAAUGAAAGAAGGGAAUUGUCCACAUUCUCAGAAGAAGGAAAGACAUGAUGCAGGGGCCUGAAGCUGAAACAGGAAAAUCUCAAGUCAUUAAGGAGGUGUUUCUUACAAUGAGAAUAAUUGGAUGGUGAACGAGAGGGCACAGCAGCAUCACCACAGAUGGGCAAUCAAGGCUGUGGGCAUUCGUGCAAAGUGAAGCUGGACAGAUUAAGUGACGUAGAUGAGCUUCUCCAGCUGCUACUCAUUUCAAGAGUUUACAGAAUCAGUUUGUUUCUCUACAUCAUCUUCCUAAAAUCCCAUAUCCUUCUAUGUCUGACAGUCACAUUGUUCCAAUGGGGUAUCAUACUGAAAUUCAUCUUUGCAGCUAGGAUUAUGAGUCCCAGUGGCUUCAGUGAGAUAAGGGUCAAUCUCAUUGCAUUUUCUGUUGAGAUUAAGUGUGUUUUCUGCUCCGGUUUUCCGAGCAUGUCCCAUCUCUCUCUGACUGCUGUUUACUCAGCCCUUCGCGACUAGGUUCUCAUUAUUAUCUCUAUUGUUGUUUUCAAGUGCGCUGUUUAUGUUAUAUGUAAACAUAAUGGGUGCUGGUGGCAAGUUGCCAAAGAACCCCCUUCAGUUAAGAAAGAGAUGAAGUAAAAGAUGUGUUUUGUUCUGAUACUUCAGCUAUAGGCAGUGGUUGAAGCCAGCAUGUGAAAAAGGUUCAGUAUGACCCUAUUCUGUUUCUUCUUCCUGUGUGUGUCACUCAGUUUGUUGCUAUGUUGGUGACACCAUCUUUUUCUGACUAAUUGCAGCAGGUGUAUGCAGCUAUGUGGUUUAUGUAGGUUUUAUUUGGGUUAUUCAGAAUAAAAAAAAAAAAAAAAGAGGAUCAUGGCCUACUUGUAUUUGGCUUGGAUAUGGCAGAAACAUGCACACAAAAAAAUCCCCAUGGGAAAAUGCCUGUAUUCUUUGUUCUCUCAUGUUACAAGGUUUCUAAGUUCUCUUAAUGUAAAUAACGAAGAACAACCACCCCUAUUUUAUUUUUGGUGUUUUUGCUAGACAGUCAUUUCUGUGACAGGAACAAAACCAGAAAAUGCAUGUUUCAACACGUGUGAGUUCCCAGAGUCUCACAUGGCAUGCGCUUGUCUACAUGCUGUCCAUGAGUGUCACCAAAGACUGGUACUUGAUAUUACCCUUGUUUGUCAUGGUUGUUGCACUGCUCUGAAUCAGUAACAAGCAAGGAGACUUCUCGCUUUUAACCUGAGAGUUAGCUCAGAGGUGGGGUAAGGCUCCAAAUAAGCAGCCCCAGGGAAAAACUACAAAAUGGGAACGUGACUGGCUUUAGUGCUGCAUGCUGCUCUACAGCUGGAGCUGGAAGGCCCAUCUGUAGGGUUAAGGUCAGAGCAGCAUUCAGUCCUUUGUCAGCAGGCUGUUAGUGGCAGUGGGAUCUGCUCUGUUUCUUAUUUAUUUUGCAGGGAGAGGGUUCUCUGAUACGUACUUACGUGCUGUGCUCCGGAGGUAUCAAUAAUUCAAGCUUUGUGACAGUUCUGUGAAAGAAUUUAUGCAGAGGAGCCUAAGGGAUGGCCACAGGACUGGUUCAGCAGGAAGGCAAUUGCCAUGUUAAGCUGUCCUGGUUGUUUGUUUACCCACUUCUUGCUGCCUCACUGUGCCAGGAGUCCCUAGUGCUGCUUUAUUUGUUUCCACUUCUGAAGGCAGUUAUUGUCUCAGGUGGUGGUUUUGGAUGAGUGAUCCUCAGAAGCUGUGCAUUUGAGGGGAGAAAGCCCUGGGGCUGAAAAACUGUAAGCACCCAAAUCUUCUCAGACACUUCCCAGAUGCUCAAACUGGAGCAUCUUUGUGUUUCAGGGACCAACCCUUGACCCCGGGCAGUCAAGAGAAGAGUGGUGAAUUUCUUCUGGAAUAUAUUCAGCUGCAAUGGCACUUUGUAACUGAGCUCAUACCUGAGCUUUGCCUGGAUCUGAGUUUUAAUAUUUCUAAGGAAAUAGCGGUAUGAGUAUCUUCUAUGUGGUUUCUGAUGUGCUUUUUCCCAUUAGUUCAAUUUUAAUCGAAAUUCUUCAGUAAAGUCAAUGUUUUAUACAUCUAUGCUUAACAUCAGGAUACAGAAUCUAUAUUUGGACCUUAAGCAGAAGCAUCUUGCUGCUCAGACUGAAAGUUAAAGAGUUUUAUGUGCCUAACUUCAGGCCUCUGGUUCAGUAAACAUGCCUAGUUUUUGCUUUCCACCCCUGUGUAACUGAGCAGUAACAAUUCUCAGAGCAGUAUCUUGCCAAAGGCACGCCUGGCAGCUGCCUGGGUAAAGCUAGCUGCUGUGGUUCUGCUUUUAGUAUGGAUAUAAAUGAAGCAAUAGACUUUCUUCCUAGGCUUCAAUUUUGGCCAAGGAUAUUAUAUUAUUUAGCUUUGUGUUAGCAGCUGUGGAAGUACUUAUGUGGUCACUUUGCUAAUUAGUUUCACUUUUAUUUUUGAGUUUACUAAUAUUUCAGUCCAUUACUUUAUCGAAAAGCAUUUGUAAUAUCCAUUCAUUGAAACAUUCUAUCUGUGUUGCUAACAUAUGUGGGUAAGUAUGUAUCUGCCUGUGUAGGGGAAGUAUAUAAUAUUCUCUGUGUGUUGUAUAAUUUAGAGGUGGAUCAUUCCAAGUAAAAAGAGAGCUUCAGAAAAGAAAUAUUUGUAAAGGUGCAGUGUAGCUGCUCCUUAGGAACCUAAAGUAUAAUGAUGUCAAUGGGCAGAGAAUUGUCUUUCCAUUGUGACAGUUAACUCUUACUGUUACAGUUUUCUAGCUGUUUUCAUCAUUGUUAAAUAUUAUUAUUCAUUAAUACUGAUGAUAGUAGUAAAUAAAAUCAUAAAGUCUUCACCUAUUUUUUUUUUUUACAGGUUCCAGUGAGACUCGUAUCAGACUUGGGCGUGAGUGGAGACUGACAUUAGCAUCUGCCUUUGUAGGCUGGCAUGUGGCUAUGUGCAGCUGGAGGUUAAGUAGUUUAAGGGGGACCUACGGAAAAACUGGGCAAGAAAGGCACCUCCAGACUCACUAGGAAAGGCUCAGAUGUUCCUAUGUAGCUCUUGACAGAUAUUUGUGUAAUGUGUUUUUCAAGCCAUCCAACAAUGAAGACUCCAGGCCUUUUUCUGCAACAGCAAGACAUAGUUGACUCUUCAGUUUGUUAUCUACAGUUUUUGUCCUGAUAUUUAAGAUGCAUUAAGCUUUACUGGGAGAAAGUUAACAGUAUGCUAAGGAUGCUACAUUUGUGUUAUGAUUUGGACAAGAACAAGAGGCUGUGAGUGUAUCUGCAAAUUUAACUUACAUAGAUUUACUCAUGGUUAAACAAGCCAGAUGCUUAGAGCUUGUUUAUCUGAUGUAUGAAGAAAUUUUCAAGGGCACUUAGCAGAGGUGAAAACUUCAGUUACAGCUGUUCUGUGAGGCAGAAGCAGUCCUACAAUUAUGCACAAAUUCAGCUUUUGAAUUGAUCCAAAUGUCACUAGGCAAAAUAUCACACUAGAAGUCAAAGAAUCCGGGUCCUGUGAAUAAAAUGAUCAGUGUACACACUGCUGGCUGGACUCCUUGCACUUAAAAGUCAAGGUGCAGGCGGGUGAUGAAAUCUACCCUCUGCUAGCCAGAGGGCAGAAGGCAGAGAGUGGGAUGGCAGCCAGCAGCUUGCUCUCUUUCCUUGUGUGCUCUGGCAGUGAGGCUGUCUCCACGCUUGCCCCAUUCCAGCGUCUGACCCUGCUGCUGGGGAGUGAGCCAAACUCCUCCUAGGUUUCUGCCUGUGCCCUGUGUCUGUUUCCAAGGCAGAGUUUUCCAUGAAAUCAUACUUCUGCGCUUGCAGAUUACAGAGUAAUAAAAGUCAAAUGACAGCUACCCCAGUACUAGGGACCUCUGCAAACUCUAGAUUAUUAUUUCACAGUGGUUGAUCCAUGUGGUAGCAGAUAGAGUCUUAUAGUAUAAUUGCCCACUACACUGGGUCACAGCUGGCACAGUAUAUGAACAUCUCCCUUCUUAGUCCCACCUUUUCCAGGUAGUAGCUCCAGCAAGUUCAUGUUGGAAGACAAGAUUUCUGUCACUGAAACUAGCAUCCCGAACUGUGUGUGCAGGGGCAAUGUGGUAAUACUGCAUGCAUGGCCAGAUUCAUUUCUGCAUGAAGGUCUUCCCUGUUCUCUUUUCCAGUGGUAAGCCUCACACUUCCAGUUUGAAAGGCCAGACUAGGUAAGUUUUUAUAGAGUUUACCUCACCAGAAAGAUGCUUGAGAUUGUUGUCUUCAGUGUUAAUGUAUGAACAAAGUAUUUGUCUGAGCGCGUGCUGUUUAAAGUGUAUCAUUUCUUUAUGCUCGUAUUCAUUAGAUGACUUGAUAUAAAGGUGUACAUUCUCCUUCCACCUAAAUUCCCUGAUUUGAAUUGUUAUCAGCAGCAGAAUCGCAUAGGUACAUGGUAGGAGAACGGUAGCUCCACUAUGACCUAACAUUGUAAUCUGAGUUUUAAAAAAUACCUACAUACUAACAUCCAGCACAGUAGGAUCGCUGAGUGUGUUUUUAUAGUGCAGAAACAGUGAUCUGCAAUAUUUUUUUAAAGGAAUUUUUGUUUCAGUGUUAUUUAGAUUGCCAUUUCUAAAUGGUACAGCUUUUCAGUUGAAUUAAUGUUUUUCACCUGUACUGCUUAGCCAAGCUUUGUUUUAUUUUGAUUUUUUUAGUUGUUAUUUAAAUGUUUUAAAGUUUUAAAAUCAUAUGAUGUUGAAAACAGCUUGUUAAUUAACAAAUAGUUCCCCACUCUUGUUUCUUGAAACACUGAAGACACAAAAGAGCCUUAAUUGACUCCUAAUGGCCUAGAUUAAGAAUAAUGGUGUAACUGCUAUAUCACAAGUUAAGCAGCUCACAGUCUGUAAUGUAUUUCCCACCACAGCAGGGAUGGGAGAUGGGAUAUUCUGUUACCUCAGCUUUAUAGGUGGAGGGAUCUCAAGGCAUAAGAGAUUAAACCUGCCACAGAGCAAGGAGUUCAGGCAUCAGCAAUUAAGACCCUUUCUUUUUGAGUGAUACAGCUAGAACCCAAUAAAGAGCUGGAGCAUGUUCACAUACGAACCAGAUUAGCUGUAAUGCAUAUUAAAACAUGGCCACAAGCUAUUUUUUGCUAAUACAACAUGCCGCAUUGGUAUAACCAAAGUUACAUUCGUAUGAAUUUCCUACCAUCAAAUGCAGCAAAACUGCAAAUCUUGCAAAAACAAUAAAGCUGGCUUAUGUGUACACUUAGGCCCAGCUCUUGCCCUCUUUGGAGGUUGUGGGAAUCCCUCCGUUUAUAGAGUGGGCUCUUCAGAGUUCUCAGAUUUCACUCUGUUCCUGUUGAAGACAUCUCCCACAGGCAUAUUUAAGUGAGUUAGGGUAAAGGUACCCAGGGGUAGUUUAAAGGAUCAAGUUUAGGUUGCUUGUUUAACUCUCACUACAGGCACUUAAGUUCCUGAGUGACAUAGGCAAUUUAAGAAACACACCUUGCUCAUUCUAAUGAAAAUCUGAAUACUGGUCCUUGAGGCUGAUCUCAGUUACACAUACAGUGCGACAGGUGGUACUUGUUUCCAUUCCCAGAGGGGAAAAAUAUUGAUUAUUUUUUGUUAUUGGAUUUUGCAUAACUGAGCUGUUUCCCUUACUGCAGGCAAACUGCAUUCAGCCAUUAACUUCAGUUGCUUAACUGAAUAAUUUGAAAGUUUCUAAUUUCAUUCUACCACUUGAUAUCCUUAAAUGUUUUUGGGUUUUUUUGUUUUGUUUUUUUUUUUUUGUACCAGUAGAUUUUUUCUGGCUCUUUAAAGACACAUCAAUACUGGUACCUUUUACUAGAGUUUUGCUUUCACAGUGUCCAGCUUAUGAAUAAUGCUUCCUAAUUCAAUUUUAAAUAAACUAGUAUGAAUAUUGAGAAGUCUGCAAGAUAUGAAAUGAUAAAUAAUGUAGGUAAUUUCAAAAAGAAAGAAGCAACUGCUUGUAACUAUGUAUGACACUAAAUAGGUCCUAGCACCAUGUAUUAAAGCUGGCUUCUUUUAACAUUAGGUAGAUGUUAGUAAGGCACAGAAUUAUUUCAUUACUUAGACAAGUCUUUUAAUUUCUUUUUGAGAUAUUACAUGUGUUAGUUGUACAUGCUCACUUCUUAAAGGAAAAUUCAACAUUUAUCUAGGUGCAGGUAUUUGCCAGACACACCUAAGUUGUCAGAAUACUCGCCUAGCAUACCUGGUGUGCCUAUACCUCACUUGAAAUGCUGCGGUUUGAUUUCUACCUGACUCACAAAAUAGUGGGCCUAAUUCUUCCUUCCCCUCCUGUGCUGAUUUUUAUAUUUCUCUUUACUACUGCAAGUACUCUCUAACAUCUAAUAACAGAUCUCAUUUUCUGCUCUGCACUUUGUAUAGUCUAUUAUUUUUGUGUAUAGAGUAUGAUCUUGCUUUUCAAUUUGUUUUUUUCUACACUUCUUUUGCUUUCUGUUUGCAUAACCUUACAUAUUUUCAGAGAUACGGAGCAGUAGGGCAUCCAGCUUUGUCAAUAGACUUAGAGAGGAGAGAGAAGGAGAGAGGGAGAGAGUGAAAGAGUGGAGUUAAUUUCCAAUUGUAUACACAAAACAAGUAAUAAAAAUACUUGCUUUUGUGUCAUUGGUGGUGUGGUAAACAGCCUGGCUGAGGUACACAGUAAAAACUGGGUAAACCCAAUAAUGGCCAGGUUAAAAAAUAUAUUAGCCCUUAUUUGUGCUGAACUAUGAAUGAAGUGAUGUGAACUAAACCACUCAUUAACUAUGCUAUGUGGUCAAAAUAUUUAUAGGUUUAUUGACGUCUUAAAAAGUGUCGUGGGAAGGAGAAAAAUAACUGUUACAGCUGAACCCAGGACAAAAGACAAGCUUAACCAAAGAGGAUUUCUGUAGUACAUAGGCGUCUUGAACAUGAAAAAUGGCCAAAUUUAGCUUUGUAAGACGGCCAGUAACAAAACUGGAAGACACAUACUGGUGUCUUGUAUGCCUUUCAAAACCCAAGUAAUUAGAGGAGUAUUCCUCAAACCAAAUGGAAAUAGGUGGUUCCUGACAACAAGGGACAGCCAAAUCGUUCCUAGGAUUUAUUAGAGAUAAACAAUGCCAGAAGAUGACUGGAUAGCUUGCAUAAUGCAAAAGGUUUCCAUUGUCUCAGAAUGGAAGAUUAAGUGAAAUACAGUGCAUAUACUUUGAAAUCUAGAAUAGAAGCUUUGCAGACAUUCAGAUCUUCUGGAGAGAAGUUGUAGCCUUCAGUCUGAUGGUACUGUGAAUAUGACUACAUGGUUGAUUGCACUCAUGCACAAAUUCCUUGUGCCUCUGUGUUCAGCUGCCUGGACACAAGCUAGCUCCAGGUCAAAAGCAUGUUUGUGAAGCCCAGCCCACAUCGCUCUGCCUCUGAGCACGGCUUAUUAGCUUGGGCACAGUGUCACCCUAACAAGGUCACAAGGGUUUUCAGUUUGGAGCUGGCUGGAGGCCCAUUAUAUUGGUGUGCAGGCAAAAGGAGUUCAUAUCUGCUUGGUGUAGCUCAUUUAUGUGCAUCCCAUAAGAGCUUAGCAGACUCCCAGGACUGGAUAAGCAUCCCUUGUAACACUGAGGUUAAGAAAAGGCAAUAACAUGCUCUGGAGUUCUUUUAAACAAAAUAGCUUUAAUUGAGCAAGCCUGUAAACUACUUUUGGACUGAGUUAUUGAAAUAGUUUUAAAGGCCUUGCAAAGGAGCGUUGAAGGCUUUUACUUAAAAGCGUGUUAACACAUGGUUAAGGUACUGCUAUGCCAGCUUUGUCUAGCGUAGGGCUUGAGAGCACACCUGACCUGCAGGACAGUUUUACCCACUUGCAGCUCUGUGGGUACUUAACCAGUCGCAGUCCAGGCUGUUCCAAAGGGAUGGCACCGUGCCUGCCACUGGGCUUGGCCACUCAUCCCCAUGGCUUCCCUUUCCAAGUAUGAGUUUCGCACAGCUACGUAGAGAACUGGGCUGGUGGAUCAACCUGACUAAAACCUAGUUGUACCACCAUUGCUAGUUGAGCAGCUGCCUGGAUCCAGCCUGCUGUAUGGCCACGAGUGACAACACUAUCAUGAGAGGGCAGGUAGAUGCAGGUAGGGAGAAGGGGGCGAGACCACUCCUCUCAGUGCAGCACUGAUUUUCACUGUGCUGCCUCUACAAUAAUCCACACACUUACCACCCUUUGAAUAUGCCGGUAUGGCUCAACAUCAAAUUAUUAAGCCCCUCCUGAGGCACAUCAUAGCUCAGGUAUUGUGGGCACUGCUUCUGAGUCCCAAUCUGGUCCACACUGGAUCCAGGCAUUGAUUUGCCACAAGUAGGAGCAACUGAAAUCUAAGCUUAAGUACCACCACAAUUUAUCUUGAUAAUAUCUGUGUGUUACUUUAUAUAUAUAUGUAUGUAUGUGUGUGUAUGUGUUAUUUUACAUAUCUAUGUAACAUAUAUGUAUAUAUGUAUUUAAUUUUGUGAAACAGAUGGGGUUUUUUCCCCCCAUGUUGUUUUUCCUGUGCUGAAAUACUGAAAGCUGUAUUACGUCCAUCAUACAAACCAAACCUCCAGUAACAUGGUAUCACAGAGUUAAAUCUUUUGUAUGGAAAUGACCCAGAUAUGUUGGCAGGAGAGUUUUUUUCUCAGAUCACCUUAAAAAAAUUAAAAAGUUGAAUGUAUCAAAGAAUGAACUUUCAAGAUAUGACAUUACAGAAGAGGAUGGAAGACUGACUAAUGGGAAGCAGCUCCACAUGUUCCAGUUUUCAUGCCUCAUCAGUGUCUAUUCCGAUAGCCUUGAACUUGGACAAAUACUGAUUGGUAGAAGUCUAAUAUGAGGAACUAUAAAAUAAUUUGGUUUUGUUUGGAGGGAUGAUCUGUUAAAACAAGGCGCAGCCUUAAUGACGAACUGUGAUUAUGGUAUCUUAGUAGCUAGGAAAAAAAGUCUGUUCUCCAAUGUAGUAUAAUCAGCUAAAUAUGACAAGCAUUUUAGGCACAAUUUAUGGUUAUUUUUAACAGUAACAGUAGUAUUACACUACUGUGGAAUAGCAUUUAGUUCUUCAGUAAGUAUCCCUUGAGGAGCAGAAGGCGAAGCAAGACUAGAAUUCGCAUAGUUUUAAGUUACACAUUUUUCUAUAAAUAGAGUGCCGAUUAAAAUGAAAAAAAAUAGAGCAUCUAUUAAAUCUGCCAUGGAUUUCAGUGGGAACAGAAGUGGGUCAUAGGUCUGCAUAGAAACUGAAAAAGUAAUGAAAUUUAAUGCAUGGCAGUGCCAGCUCAAUGCCCCAGAUUCUCCAUCAGGUUUUGUACUGUUCUUUUUCCACAUAGAUUUGAGUUCCUGCAGUGAUUCUUGAUCUAAUAGUAUUCAUAUUUGUAAUAUGUUUCAAUAAAAAGACAUGAUUAGCCUUG